rnacentral:rRNA from 1 species
GACGAACGCUGGCGGCGUGCUUAACACAUGCAAGUCGAACGGAAAGGCCCUGCUUUUGUGGGGUGCUCGAGUGGCGAACGGGUGAGUAACACGUGAGUAACCUGCCCUUGACUUUGGGAUAACUUCAGGAAACUGGGGCUAAUACCAGAUAGGAGCUCUUGCUGCAUGGUGGGGGUUGGAAAGUUUCGGCGGUUGGGGAUGGACUCGCGGCUUAUCAGCUUGUUGGUGGGGUAGUGGCUUACCAAGGCUUUGACGGGUAGCCGGCCUGAGAGGGUGACCGGCCACAUUGGGACUGAGAUACGGCCCAGACUCCUACGGGAGGCAGCAGUGGGGAAUAUUGCACAAUGGGCGGAAGCCUGAUGCAGCAACGCCGCGUGCGGGAUGACGGCCUUCGGGUUGUAAACCGCUUUCGCCUGUGACGAAGCGUGAGUGACGGUAAUGGGUAAAGAAGCACCGGCUAACUACGUG